GGGUCAUUGGAGAUCCUGCAGCUUUGCUUCAGCAGGACUGGCACUUUCACAUGCUCCAACAGUUCACAGAUGAUGUAAAUUUUGGGAUGGGAGAACUCAAAGCUCUGGAUCUGGGCCUGGAUGGUAGCUGACCUGGUCAGCCAGCUGGUUCUCCUGCAUCGGCAACACGAGGGCAAGCUCUACAGCAUUGCUCAGGCUAGCCCGCUCAAUGCCGCCUCCGGCAGGAGGCAAGGUCGGUUCUCCUGCCCUUAGGCAUGCUCACCCCCACACUCGCACUGCCAGAGUCAGUGCUACCCAGUUGAGAUACAGGGCCCACUCUCCCAAGUGCUGCAAUAGAAGUUCUUCAUCCUGGCUGCAUGUUAAAAAUCACCCAAGGAGGAUUAACAACCCUGACUCAGAAGAAGCCAAAUCCAAGAGACUACAUCACCAUCUCUAGCAGUGGGAUUGUGACCUCAGUAGUUUCUCCUUCAGUGGGCUGCUGGGAGUCUAACUGGGUCAGCAGGUGGAACCUAUGUGAUAGAUAAAGAGACACCAGAUGCUUCACAAAGUAAAGAGACACAGACGUUUGCCAGGCAUUCCGGCCCAAGAACCAUUGUUCUCCAUCUGAGACACAGGAGCCUUCAGCAGUGAGUUCCCAUUUCUCGAACCCCAGGCACCACAAGGACCCAGCGCUCUCCAGAGAGGGGGCCUCCUGGAAAGCUAAACUUGAGAGAAAAGAAUGGGCCAUUGUCUUCCACACAGAGUCCCAUGUGAACAGCACACCGUGGAAAGAUUUUGAAAUAGCUAGGUGAUAUCAGGCAGGUGCUCCGUGUCCAACGUUAGUCUCCCAAGUGACCAGCCUAAGCCGGCCAGGUUUCCAUUUCUCCUCUGCUCAGGGGUUUUGUCCCCAGUCUGUCAGCACAGAAAAUUGCUGGUGGGUGUCUUGUUUCAUGAAGUGGGCAGGAGAACUACAGAGGGUGUGUGCUGCUCGGUACUUUGAGCGCUAUUUGGCCCAGAUUGAAUAAACCUUUGCACAAAGCUGCCCUAUCUCUGGUGAACUAUGCCACCCACAGGAAGCGGCGAAGGCACCAGCUGAGUUUUCCAAAUGCCUCCGUGAAGGCUCCGAAGGGCAGUAUUUUCAGUAAAUGAGACUACAUUGGUGUAGCUUCUGAAUAUAAAAUCAGAGA
rnacentral:lncRNA from 1 species